AGGACGAACGCUGGCGGCGUGCUUAACACAUGCAAGUCGAGCGGAAAGGCCCUUCGGGGUACUCGAGCGGCGAACGGGUGAGUAACACGUGAGCAACCUGCCCUUAGCUUCGGGAUAGCUCCGGGAAACCGGAAUUAAUACCGGAUAUGACUAUGGCCGACAUCAGCCAUGGUGGAAAGUUUUUCGGCUAGGGAUGGACUCGCGGCCUAUCAGCUAGUUGGUGAGGUAACGGCUCACCAAGGCGACGACGGGUAGCCGGCCUGAGAGGGCGACCGGCCACACUGGGACUGAGACACGGCCCAGACUCCUACGGGAGGCAGCAGUGGGGAAUAUUGCGCAAUGGGCGAAAGCCUGACGCAGCGACGCCGCGUGGGGGAUGAAUGCCUUCGGGUUCGUAAACCCUUUCAGCAGGGACGAAGCGAAGUGACGGUACCUGCAGAAGAAGCGCCGGCUAACUACGUGCCAGCAGCCGC
rnacentral:rRNA from 1 species